AAUGCUUAAAACCAAGAACGGUAUAACCAUUUGACAAUUAAGGUUUGAUUGUGGGAAGGUAUUUGAUUAAAAUACGCACAAACAGACUUUUAAAAUAGACAUUAGAGUUAAAGGACCAGAAGCCCACCCCCUCAAAGGAAACAAGCCCUCGGGGGAACAAAGCCAAGCCCCUGGGGACACGCCCCAAGGGACCAGACAAACAAAACAGCGGAGCUCUUUGUUGCUCGCUCUCUUCUCGCUCUUCCCUUGUACUUCGGCUCUCCAGCAGCACGCGCUCAGCGUGGUCCGUCUCCCAGCAACGCCCUAAGAAGUCCGGCCCGGCUUGCCGCGAAGAUUCCUUUGUUCUUGUCAAGCCACACGCGCGAAGCGCCGCGACCUUGGCUUUUCCCUCGUUUCCAGCAACUUACUUGCUUUAUAUUUUCUUUUGUUUUGUUUGUUAAAAGUUAUCAGACCGUUAAGUCGCGCAAUUUUAAUUCAAGAACGACCAAGUUCUUUUUAGCUUUAUUGUAGUCUAGUGAAUUUAUACUGCUCCCACCGAAGUUCGGACCCAGCCACGUGCGUCCGUUACGCAAGCAGUAACAAAGGACAAUCAAACCGACAACCCGAGCCAAGGUUAGCAGCCUAUCCCUGCAAGUUUUCUUCAAAAAGCCAAAUGAGGACAGAUCUUUGGAGCAAUUCCCUGGCAGAGAAAGCGAGAAAGCGUCCGGAGACCCUGGGCGAACUGAAUUUCCGCUGGUGCCCUUUUCGAGAUGCAGAGCGUCUCUAUGAGCUGCAGGUGAAACUCACUCACAGGAUCAUCAUUACAAAGUGAAAGACAGAAUGGACGACAUGGUGGAAAGCCUGUACUGUGCCAGUUGUGCUACAUGUGAAAUCUGGGAUUGCCCAAUUCAUUCUUGGUGUUGAAUAAUGGCCAAAAAAGUGUCCCCCUGCCCCCCCAGGACAUUAUGAUGUCACAGUGACGUUAACCUUUGACCUUUUGGUAAACAUGUGUGCAAACACGCCGUUAAGAUUUGGCUCCAUUCAUGAGCCAAGGAAGGAUCUGUUUAGCAUAGGACCUCCUCCAGCCCUUCAGCACAGUAGAUGGCCCUGCCCACUAAAGAUGUACACCUGCUCUCAGCCUCACCAUCCAACACAACACCAAGCCGUCAUUCUUUCACUGAGUUAGAGCUGGAGGUUGUCCAGUAUGUCUCACAGAAAGUGCAUUACUUGUGGCUAAAGCUACAGUAACCGCUAGCUUAUGCUUACUGACCUUUAGACAUCUGUGUGAUCUUAGUGUCUAACUGUCCAGUUGUUUCCAGGAAAAACACAUAGUAUGAAACACUGUAUGUUGUACUACUACAUAACUAAAGUGCAAAAUACAGUAUAUCUUUGAACUGCUAACAUAGUUAUUGUGCUUUAUAUUAAGUCACUGAUGGAAACAUUUGAGGGUCACAGUUUUAACUUUGAGGAAAAUAAAAAAUAGCCACUACGGGCUGUAACAAAUAAAAUAUUAUACAUUACCUCUUCCUCUGCAUGUGUUCUCACUUCUGCUAGUGCUGCGGCUUCUACUUCUCUGCUCCUUCUCUCGCUGAAGUGACAGGUGACUCUGUUGUUGGGACACGUUGCCCCCUCUCUCUCCUGGAUAAUGGACCACCAAUUAAUAUACAUCAAAAUAUUUACAUAGUACAUACAGUAUAUGCUUAUAUAUUUAGCAGUUGUAUAUUCCACUUAA